CUGCUUACUCCCCAGCUCCAUCCCCCACCCUAGAUGUUGGCAAGGACACAAUAAAACAUAUACACAGGAAAAGGCAUUAGGAGUAAUGAAUCCUGAUCUCUGAGGACUCUGUGCUUCAAGAUGCAGAGACUGUCUUGGUCUGGAUUCUGCUCUAGCAGGAUACUGGAAAUCUGAGUUGAUGACAAAUGAAGAAUUGGGAGAUCACAUUGACUCAUCUACAGAGGAAGAGGGGGAGAAACUGAGAGAGAACCACGUAAACAACACUGGCAUCCACAGAACCUUUCAGAUUACAGAGGUGAAGAUAAUAUAUCUCCCCCAAAGUAUGGGGACUGUGACAGCUACUGUAUGAAAUGUACUUCAUGGCUCCCACUGGGAAUCCUGGCUUCAAAUAAUGACCCAAGUUCAGUGCCAGCUCACCCCACUUGACAGGACCAAGGUAAUCCUCAUUAUAGAGGGAGAAGCAGUGUAGUAAAGGAGUGAAGUAUGAAGAUGUCACAAUGAAAUCCAUUAUUUGGUACACUACAAAAGUUGGUGAAAAGUUGAAGAUGAGCUGGGGAAAUAGCUCAGCCAGAAAUGUACCUGCCUCACCAGCAGAAGGAACUAACUUCGAAUCCCCAGCACCCACAUAAAGCUAGGUAUGAACAUGGAGCAUAUACAUGGAACCCCAGCAUUUGGAGGAUGGAACAGGUAGAGAUCAGUCUUAUUGACCAGUCAUAAACUAAUUAAUUAACUAAUUAAUUAACAUAAUUAGUAAAGUGGAGAACAGCUGAGGAAGAUAGUAACAUCAUCAUCUGGCCUUUACACAUAAGCAUUAGGACAUUUUAUACACACACACACACACACACACACACACACACAUAGACAAGAUUUUUUAAAAGGAAAAAAAUUAAAGUAUUUUGCAAAUGUUUAAUAGUUUACACACAUGACCACAAAGAAAAUGGUGAUAUAGGCCUCUUUGCUUUGGGGUUUCCAUUUGUAAGUCUUGGAACAGAAGACCCACAGCAGAACUUCCGAACAAUGAAACAUUUGAUAUUCAUGGUGGCAACUAAUUUAGGGAAACAAAUGUAGCGCUAACUAAGCACAUUAAAGUGUAUGAGCCAGUGGUGGGGCACAUGCCUUUAAUCCCAGCAUGCAGAAGGUAGGGCCAGCGGGAUCUCAGUGAAUUCCAGCCCAACCUGAGCCACAAAGUGAGUUAUAGGACAGUCGGGGAGACAUAGUGAGACCAUGUCUCAAAACCAGUGAAAGUAUAAAUCUGUGCAGUUCUCACACUGUGGAUUAGCAUUGAUGAUGACACAUCUAGAAAGUCCUCAGGCUGUGGCUGCUAGCUUCCAAAUCUUCUCUGAAUGUCUUGAAGCCAGAGGUAUCAACACAGCAAUACCCUGGAGAAAACAGAAUAAAGUGACCACAACCAACAGCACAGUCCUGCACCUAAGGCUCAGAGGUCAUUGUGGAAGAGAAGGGGAAAUGGGAUAGGACUGCCAGCUGCUCUGCAUUACUAUUUGACAACCCAGAAUGAGGCACUCAACCUGUCAAAUGAGGCAACUGGGAAAGAAACACAAAUGGCACCCAGAGCUGCCAUAGUGAACCAAGUAGAGGAGCAGAUGGCGGCAGGCAAUGGUGGUCAACUAGGUGGAUGAUCAAAGUGGCAGCAUGAAUCAGAAGGCAGGGGUGGAGAGCCCUGCCCCAUAUAGUUUCUGGGGAAGGUGAAUGGGAAUGGUUGGAAGCCCUUUGGACAGUUUGAGUAUCAGCGUCUCUGCCACUGCACAGGUAGGUAUACACUGACCUGAUUAUAAACUAGUUUUCCUCCAUCUCUCACUUGACUGAAACUCUGGUUCCAUUUUUUUACUUUAUUUGCAUACAUAUACAUUCAGUCAACCAGGGUCCAGAGAGCUCUAUAAAUUUGGGUUAGGUUAAGUCUGCAGGGGUAAAGUCAUUGAAUGGUCAGAGAAGGAGGAUUCCCCACCUGACAUUCUGGCCGGAGCCUGACUCUUGGGCAGGUUCCUGGCUUCUGGCUGAGGGUUGAACUUCCAGAGACCUUACCAAGAAGGAACAGUGUGGUGAAGAUUCACAGAGACAGACAAGUUCGAGGACUGCUGCCCUGAUGCUUCUGUCUCAAGCACAGAGACAGCUCCGUAUCCCACCACUCAGGCCAGUGGGACUCGACUGUGGCCACACGCAGCAGGACAGAUUCCUGGCUCUGCCUCUAAGACUCCAUCCUUUGGCUGAAGAUGAGAAUUCAUUCCUGAGGCUGACUCCAGCCCUUGAGACUGAAAAGACUGGAGGGGGGGCAGCAGACCCUGACAGAGACCAGAUCUUAGUUUCACUUCACUAGAAUGGGACAGCAUUGAGCAAGCAGGUCUCAUGAAAACCAUAACAAACAACCCCACAAUCCCUUCUGCUGGAUCAGCAGGCCCCCAAAGCCCUUCUGUUGGCUCAGCAGAUGUCUCCCAGACUUCUGUAGGCUAAAGAUAACUUUCUCUACCCUGCUACCAAGCAGCCCUCAUACUAAUCUUUCCUUCCCCAACCAACUCCAGGCUAAUCUCUCCUCUCUGGAAUUUCACUACCUCUGCUUAAAAGGAGCUCGUUCCCUUCUUUGGCGGUCACUCUUUUGCCAUCCCAACGUUGGAAUCAAUAAAGUGCUCUUGUUAUUGCAUACAUAGUUGUUGGCAUUCUUUGGGGGUUUUUCUUGGACCCUCACAAUUGGUGCAAUGGUGUACAGUGGUGAGCAUAGCUGCCUUCCAAGCAGUCGACCUGGGAAGCCCCCCCCCCCCAGACCACUCACCACGUUGAGCGUCUCAUAACCUGGCCACCUGAUAAAUGCAGUGAGCGCUCUGUGUCUUGUCUUGGCCUGUCAUCGUUUCUGAUGGUCUGAUUGCCACCGUGCUGUGUUUUUCAAAUCUGUUUCUCUUUCUCUGAUAAGCUCGAACUAACUGAAUCUGGAGACUGAGGUUUGCCUAGCGGUUGUGCUGGAGGCACCUUGGACAUGUAAGCCGGGAGAUGUCUUGGACUUACUUGGUAGGGACAACUGGGUAUCAUUGGUUGAACUGGAACAGAGGAUCCCUUUUGGUUGGAUUAGGACAGAGGGUCCCUUUUGGUUAAAUUGGGACAGAGGGUCCCUUUGAUUGAAUGGGGAACACAGGUCAUGCCUGUUGCAAAAUGAAACUGAUAUGCCAUCAGUCCGUUCUGGCUCUUAGUUUCUUUUCCAUGCACUGGACGGAGACAUUUCUGUCAGUAUUAUUUUGGGGUCUUCCUGUCUAUUAUGUUACCUCGUUGCUUCUUUUAGGAAUGGGUCAUUCAAACUCAAUUUCCUUCCUUGAGUUUGGACCAUUCCAAGGACUUUCCAACCCAAGCCGCUGACUUGGGGCUCAUAGUCUGGAGGGGCGGAGGUCUGAUUGAUAAGGACUGGUAGGACUUUGGGUGCCUGGCAGAAAACCUGCAAUUGGUCAUUGUGGUCACUGUGGGGGUCCUUACAGGGAAGCUGACAAUUUUUUUUCACGAUACUGACUGCCAGGCAGGCACUCUGUGCCUGCAAGCUGCAGUGGGAGCAACUGCUAUGCUUUCCCUCGCUUCCUUCCUGAGCCAAAUUCUUCACUGUGGAUCAAGGCCCUUGCAGCCAGUUACUUCCCCUUAAUCCUUUCCUGUUCAUACACACACACACACACACACACACACACACACACACACACACACACCACCCCAACCCCCACAAAUGUGUCGGUUUUGUUCAUUCAGAUCCAAUGGGUUAUAAAUAUUUGUCAUCAUUUAGAGGGGUUGGUUACAAAUUACCAUUGGUUAGGGCAAGAGAAAAGAACUACUGCUGGUCUCGGAAGUUUCUUGUUGGUGCAGUUUUUAUGUGAUUUGUUAUGAUAUGUAUGUUUCUGUUCUUGUUUAAAGUAUUAUAUGUAUAUAAUAUUCUAGAGUACUAAAUGCAACCACAAGAAGGACCUUGAUAAAAGUUUUCGUGUUGUCUGAAAAAAGGCAGAAACUAACAAAGAGAAGAGACAUAAAGAGAAGGCUGUUUGAAGUAAGAAUGUCUGGCUGAAGCAGAGGAGCGAAGCUAGGAACUAAGGAGGAUAGUGAGUUGUAGAAGGCCAGAGGAGGUAAGAGAUUUGAUCAGGCUAUGUUAAUACUGGGUGGUUUCCUUCAUUAAAAAAGAAAAAAACAAAGCUGAUUCACUACAAAAUGUUUGUGUUGGGAAUGUGGUCAUACUCUUUAAAGAAGAGAGGGGACAGAUCACUGCCUACUGCACCCCUGUACCCUGUCUUUCCUUCUCUAGGCAACUUGGAGGAAGAGUUUUUUCUAUCACACCACCUUACAGCCAGGCAUCCCUGGAGGACAGAAGGGGAGGGGCAGAUGAGCCCCCUCCCCACAUGUUUCUAACUGCUCCAGGUUCUCUUCAUCACUGAGGAGAGAGACCGGAUUAUAACAGAGGCUUGGAAAUUGGUUCCAGGCCCAGAUGGAAGAGCUACCAGCAAUGCUGACCUCAUAAAUGUUGGUUUUUCUGUGAUAUGAUCCAAUUGGGGAUUUCAACAUGGAAAAAGGUAGGGAGGGAGAGGCUGAAUGUGUUCUGCCAGAUUCCAAUGGUGGUCUCCAGGCUGCUGUGAAGACCUGUGGCUCACAAAUUUGUUCAAAGUUGGAAAGGUACACCAGGGGCCUGAAGAAACACUGAGAGUGUUCCUAGAGAGGCUGAUAGAAGCUUAUAAGAACUGAACACCUUUGGAUCCAGAAGCACUAGAGAAUCAGUCUGAGUCAGCCUGGCUUUUGAGAACCAGUCAGCACCAGAUAUCUGCCAUAAACUUCAGAGACUAGAGAGUUUUGAAAGUAAGAGGUUGGCUAAAUUCAUUGCAGUUGCUGAGAAAGUAUUCAAUAAAGACAGACACAGGGGCCCACCAAGAUCUUUCUAGCUGCAUCAAGCAGCCCAGAGGUUGAGAAAAAGGUAAGGGCCUUGGGAGACUCACUGCAUAAAGGGAAGGGUUAGAAGCAGGGACUGCACAAUAGACCCAGUCUGCAGAAAGACCAAUGUGCCUACUGUAGGAAGUUGGGUCACUGGAAGAAUAAAUGUCCGGAAUGACAGGGCUCAAAAGUGAAGGUACUGGAACUGGGAAAGUUGAGUGAUUGAAGGGGACAAGGCUUGGAGCCCCUCCCCCAAUAACCC